GUGUCAGCCGCGGUAAUACGUAGGUGGCAAGCGUUGUCCGGAAUUAUUGGGCGUAAAGAGCAUGUAGGCGGGCCUUUAAGUCCGACGUGAAAAUGCGGGGCUCAACCCCGUCUGGCGUUGGAUACUGGAGGUCUUGAGUGCAGGAGAGGAAAGGGGAAUUCCCAGUGUAGCGGUGAAAUGCGUAGAUAUUGGGAGGAACACCAGUGGCGAAGGCGCCUUUCUGGACUGUGUCUGACGCUCAGAUGCGAAAGCUAGGGUAGCAAACGGGAUUAGAUACCCCGGUAGUCCUAGCCGUAAACGAUGGGUACUAGGUGUGGGAGGUAUCGACUCCUUCCGUGCCGGAGUUAACGCAAUAAGUACCCCGCCUGGGGACUACGAUCGCAAGAUUGAAACUCAAAGAAAUUGACGG
rnacentral:rRNA from 1 species